GGGUGAGUAACGCGUAGGAAUCUACCCAGUAGAGGGGGAUAGCCCGAGGAAACUCGGAUUAAUACCGCAUACGACCUAAGGGUGAAAGUGGGGGAUCUUCGGACCUCACGCUAUCAGAGGAGCCUGCGUUGGAUUAGCUUGUUGGUGGGGUAAAGGCCUACCAAGGCGACGAUCUUUAGCUGGUCUGAGAGGAUGAUCAGCCACACUGGGACUGAGACACGGCCCAGACUCC
rnacentral:rRNA from 1 species